rnacentral:rRNA from 1 species
CCUACGGGUGGCAGCAGUGAGGAAUAUUGGUCAAUGGGCGCGAGCCUGAACCAGCCAUGCAGCGUGAAGGAAGACUGCUCUAUGGGUUGUAAACUUCUUUUGUAAAGGCAUAAACUCAGGCACGCGUGCCUUUUUGUAUGUACUUUAUGAAUAAGGAUCGGCUAACUCCGUGCCAGCAGCCGCGGUAAUACGGAGGAUUCGAGCGUUAUCCGGAUUUAUUGGGUUUAAAGGGAGCGUAGGUGGGCUGUUAAGUCAGUGGUGAAAGAUCGGGGCUCAACCUUAAAAUUGCAAUUGAUACUGGCAGUCUUGAGUAUAGUUGAGGUAGGCGGAAUGCGUGGUGUAGCGGUGAAAUGCUUAGAGAUCACGAAGAACUCCGAUUGCGAAGGCAGCUUACUAAGCUGCCACUGACAUUGAUGCACGAAAGUGUGGGUAUCAAACAGGAUUAGAUACCCUUGUAGUC